rnacentral:rRNA from 1 species
GAUGGGGAGCGAAAUUUAGUAGCGAAGUAGCUGAUUUCACACUGUCAAGAAAAGUCUCUAUCGAGGUUAAAGGUACCCGUACCGCAAACCGACACAGGUGGGUGAGGAGAGUAUCCUAAGGCCAGCGAGAGAACUGUUGUUAAGGAACGCGCCCACAUGACGCCGUAACUUAGGGAUAAGGGUUGCCAAGCCGUAAGGUGGCCGCAGAGAAUAGGCCCAAGCGACUGUUUACCAAAAACAUAGGUUUCUGCUAAGUCGCAAGACGAUGUAUAGGAGCUGACGCCUGCCCGGUGCUGGAAGGUUAGGGUGAAGUCCGU